GCGGGGUGAGGCGAGUCUCUCAUCUUUGACCAGAAGAAGGGGGGGGGAACCGACGGAGUGUCGGGAAGGUGGGAACUCGCUGCCUGCCUUUCAUUUUUCCACCACAGGAGGAGAGAGAAGCGCCGCCUUCUCUACCGCUUGUGCGGAAGAGAAAAGGAGGGGGGGUGGAAACAGCCGCUGUCCUCCAAGGAAGGAGCCGAAAGACUGCGGCGGUGCGUCCCGUGAUGAUCUCCUUCCGUGCCUUCCUCCACCCCUCCCCCGACGGAUGCGUCGGGUGCUCCACGGCCCUGGCUGAGGUAGUAGUUUGUGCUGUUGGUCGGGUUGUGACAUUGCCCGCUGUGGAGAUAACUGCGCAAGCUACUGCCUUGCUAGUGCCGGUGAUGAUCGGCUGCAGAUGAAGACAAUGGCAGUGGGAAUCCCCUUUGUUUUCUCAGGAAUUAUCUACUAAAGAGGUGCAACAAUCUUUCUGCACAGAACGAAGCUUGCCUUGGCUACUUAGAUGUGCAUUUUCUCCCCCUUUAUGCUGCCUUCUUUUGAUAUGUGACUUUAUUUGUGGAGCCAGACUUACAAGCUGCUUAAUCUUGCGCUUUCUGGAUAUAUAUGUAUGUAUUUAAACCUUAUUGUGUAGGUUUGUUACUUUUAAAAAAAACUAUGCAAAUGGUAUCAAAAUUAUUGACUAAUUAAAGUGAACCACACAGCAUGUUGACAUCACUUGACUAUCUGUAGACAACUAGAAUAUAUUGCACAUUUUGCAACUGCUGAAUUAGACAAUAUCUCAUAAGACAAACUUCAAUCUUUGGGUGAACACACACACACAAUAUGUGUUGUUAUAUGUUAAAUUUGUAUUCUUAACUGCCUUACGCAAAUGGAUUCAGACUGUGAUGCUUAGCCUGAAGACUUUGAGGUGAUAUGGGAAGUCUGCUUGUAUGGGGCACACUUUAAUAUAUCAAAUGUAGUUAAUGUUAACUACUCUUGAGUACCCUGUGUUCCCAUAGGAAAUACUACUGCAUGUAAAUGAAUACACUUGAUAGUUCAGAAGGAAAUAAUGGGGUGGGGGGACUGAGUAGUGCUGGUUUUUAAGAUGAGAAUGCAUAAGUAUUGUUUGUAAGCAUAAUGAUAUGUUGCCAGCUGUCUUUCUCAUAAAUGAUGCUAAAAACUACUUGAUCAUUUUAAAAUCUGAACACUUUCAUUUUAAUGUUGAACAAAUGUGUCCUUAAGCCCAGUCUGAAACAAUAUAUCCCCAUAUUUCAAAGGCUUAGGGACAAGUAGUAAAAUUUAAAAUUGGACUAAAUGAUUUUUAAAAACCCAUAAAACCCUUAACUGAGUCUAAACCAUCUAAUGCUAUCCAAAUAAAAAGGUCUUGUGAAAUUUCCUUUAGUUGGGUACAGCUUUGUUUCAUAGCAGUGUGAACAAUCUUUUUGCACAGUCCAGAAUCCCAAAGCUUUACAGCUUUUUACUAUGAAAAUAUUUGUUGCAAGUUCACUGAUGAGUAAGUGAAAAACUGAAAUACGUUUUAAAGUAGCUUUUUAAUGCUAUUACUACAUUUCCUUUAAAGGAUUGUGGUUUGUUUUGUAAAUAGUCACCAUGAAAGACACAGAAUGUAAAAGGGUAAAUGUACUGACAAAUUAAUAGAAAUUUUAGAAUUAAAACUGUCAAAACAUGUAAACUCUGCAGAAAUUCCAAUUUCUUAAAUUGUUGUUGACUGGAAGACAGUAGGUCGGAUUUUGAUGAACUAAUGAAGGUUCAUUGUUCAUCAUUUAGUGGGGAGGUUGAUAACAAGAAUACUUUAUGUAUUUUUCUAGUUAGAUAUUGAAAUGUUCAUAUUUAAUGACUAAAGCCUGCAAAAUAGGAAAUGACUGAUUUUUUUUGCUUAAUAAUUAAACAUUCCAAACCACUUUUACUUAAAUCAAAUUAAGUUUAAUUAUAGUACCCUUUCUAUUAAAACUUUUUUUAAAAAGAUUUAAAUUAUAGGAUAACUGAAGAAUAAUUUGAAAUUCAUGUCUUUGCCAGGGCAUUAGAAGAGAGGAGAAGUCUGCUUUGGUGCAUCUGUGAUAAUCUUCCACUUUAAAAUGGUAGCAAAUGCUUGAUUUACUUGAGUUAAGACUUGUCCAACAUAAAAGUUGUUGUGACAUUUUAACAACACUACUGAGAACUAUGAACUAACAGUUAUUAAUGGCAUUCUAUGGGAAUGUCAAGAGUAAAACUUCAUGUAUGCUCAAAGAUAUCUUGGUAAAUUAUAAAAUAAGACCAAAGGCUUAUAAUAAAGGUCUUUACAUCUAUUUGCCCCAUUUUGUUAUAUUUGAACCUUACAAAAUUAGUUUUAAAGCAUCAGGGCACCAGUGUUCAUUUUUUCUAUAAAAAUGUAGAAUCAUUACAUAAAUAUGCUCAGGCAAGCUCAAACGUAUGUCAAAACAGUGUAGUUUAGACAUAGCAGCAGAGUCAUUUGUAGAUUCUCAUAUUUUAUUGAAAAUUUAUGAAGUUAUGUAGUUCUGCUUUUAUUUUAUCUGCUAGCAGCCACACUUAGGCAUAUACUUAGGACCCCUGGGCAAGAUUUAUGCCACAGUGGAAAUGCAAGGAAAUUCUUGGGGCAGGAUUGCCCACAAGAUUGCAGUGUGGAACAGACCUUUAAGACAAAUGCCCCUCUAUGUUGGGGGACCGGAAGGUGUGUUGGUGGGCAAGGCUUGUACAAAGCAAUAAAUGUUGAAUCAGUUGAAGUGUCAGAUGCUUUAAUUCUCAAAUGGAUAUAUUUCUACCACUGUUUUGACUCUUCUGCCCCCAAGUGCUUUCCCCUUUCCCAACUCCUUCAAUUUAAGGAGUUGUUUGUUUUUUGCUCCUGUCAAUGAGAGUGCAUUUACAGCUGAACCCUAACAAAACUUGCUACUUUAAGACAACAGUGUUUCAGUAUAGGUCCUAUAUUACAACAAAAUAAGCUCUAUGCAACUGGAAGACAAAAUUUCAUACUAAUUAAAUUACUUGAAAGGAGGCUUUUUCUAAAGUAAGAUUUUACUAGAAUUCUGUGUAUCCAGAAAAGGCUCCCCCACCCCCAUCCCGCAUACGUAACUUUCAAGAGAUGCAUUUUGUGUGUAUACCUCAGUAUAUCUUUGCAGUUAACUUAUUCUUAAAUAAGGCACUAAUAAAUACCUGGUGCUAAAUUCAGUAAAACUUCUUGCCUGUUUUCUCAUUGACCCAGUUCAAGUAGAAAUUGUUACUUCAGAUUAACAUGUUUAAGUUGCCUCCUGACUAUUCAUACAAAUAUUGUUGUAUUACUGUACUUAAAUAUAGAUGAAGUCCUUAAAGCAUUGGGGCAUUGUGGAGAUGCUAUUAAACUUUAAAUUGGUUUUAAUAAA